CCUACGGGUGGCUGCAGUGAGGAAUAUUGGUCAAUGGGCUUACGCCUGAACCAGCCAAGUCGCGUGAGGGAAGACUGCCCUAUGGGUUGUAAACCUCUUUUGUCAGGGAGCAACGCCGGCUACGUGUAGCCGGACUGAGAGUACCUGAAGAAAAAGAAUCGGCUACCUCCGUGCCAGCAGCCGCGUUAAUACGGAAGGUCCGGGCUUUAUCCGGAUUUUUUGGGGUUAAAGGGGGCGUAGGCGGGCUUUUAGUUCGGCUGUGAAAGUCCGCGGCCCAACCGGGGAAUUGCAGUUGAAAUUGGAGGCCGUGAGUGCACACAGGGAUGCCGGAAUUCAUGGUGUAGCGGUGAAAUGCGUAGAGAGCAUGAAGAACUCCGAUCGCGAAGGCAAGUGUCCGGGGUGCAACUGACGCUGAGGCUCGAAAGUGCGGGUAUCAAACAGGAUUAGAUACCCGAGUAGUC
rnacentral:rRNA from 1 species